CAGGCCUCCCUCUGCUUGGUUCCAGUCGUGGGCAUGAGUGAGGGUCGAUGCUUGAUGGCUUUAAUGACAUCGGUGGGAAUGUAUUUAAGCAUCGGCCUUCCCUCAUGCCCACGAUGGUCUACAGUCUUGGGUAUGAGUCAGUGACGAUGCUUGUUUGUUUAGAUGCUUGCGUUUGAACUUGCUUGUUUAGAUGCUUGCGUUGGAACUUGUUUGUUCAGAUGCUUGUGUUGGAACUUGCUUGUUUAGAUGCUUUCGUUGGAACUUGCUUGAGCAACCGACCUGACGAAGUACCCAUGAAUGUCGCCCUCAACCUAGUAGGGACGUGUCCCUGCGCCCAACGACAUUUUUUGUCGGGAUCGUGGCAAGUCUGCGAUCCAGGGGGUGAUGUUGAGAGCCGGAAGGCAAGGGGGUGCAAACACCAGUCGGCCUUUGUCCCGAUUGCUGAGUGUUAUGUGCUUGAUGUCCAAGGCUUGAUGCUGAUCCUCCAAGUGGGGCUUGUCCCUGCACCAAUGGCUUUUGCCAGGAUCAUGGCGUUUGCUAUGAUCGAAAAAAUGAGGGGGUGAUGUUGAGAGCCGGAAGGCAAGGGGGUGCAAACACCAGUCGGCCUUUGUCCCGAUUGCUGAGUGUUAUGUGCUUGACGUCCAAGGCUUGAUGUUGACCCUCCAAGUGGGGCAUUUUUGUUCCUGCGGUAACGACUUUGUUGGGAUCAUUGUGAUCAAGUUUGGUUGGUUUCGUAUUGUGGUGGGUUUUUUCGAAGCUUCUAUCGUUGUUUUACGCAUCGUGCGGUGCAUCUUGGGGGCUGUUUUGGCUUUUGGUUGCUUGCUUGGGCUUUAUGCUAGGCGGGUGGCUAAU
rnacentral:misc_RNA from 1 species